UUUUUUUUUUUUUUUGGAUAAAAAAGAUGUAUUACAUAGAGAAAAGAGAAAUCACAACUUAAGUGGGGAUUGGAAGUCCAUCAAAAUUUUUGUAAAAAAAUAUUGAAAGAACAAAAAAAAAUUAAAAGAAGAAAAUAAAAACAAAAAAAAGAAAUAAAAACUAAACAAAAUUAACCAAGAAAGCCUCUUUUCAAUCCCUUCCCGUAGUAAUUCACCAAGCCCUUCAAAUUAGUUAAUUACCUUUGACCCUUCACUUUAUUUUUACCACCUUCAAGACUCACUUCAUUUCCUCUAGGAUCACAGAGCUUUUAUUCCAUUUUAUCCAUUAAUUCUUGAGCUUCUAAAAAUCCCUCUUAUGAAUCUCCUCCAUGGGUACAGGCAGAAUUCCUGAUGCCGUGUUGCUAGAAAAGAAGAACCAGCAGACCAAACACACACAAACGCAUACAAGUAGCUUUGCUCGCUAUUCAAUGAAAUCUAUCAAAAAGAUACAAAAACAAGAAAGCUCAUCACUCUAAAGUAUAGAUAACUCACUACUUUAGAGAUACAGAGAUUAAAGAUAAAAGUUCACCACUCACCAAGGAGAUACAAAACUGAAGAGAAACAAGACAAAGCCAAAGCCUACAAUUUUCAUUCAAAUUACACUUUGCUCCACUAAUGCAAGCCUCAUAUGAGGGGCUUGGAACAGCCCUCCAAGUUUAGGAAAAUGAUACUCCACGUUUUCUAGCUAAAUAUAAUUGAUUUUGACAAGAAUAAGACUCAAAAGAAGAGCUUGAUGUGUUUUCUUACAUUGGGAAUACAAGCAGACACAUAAGAAGCUUGAACUGGCAGACUGAACACUACAAAUUCAAACUACCAUAACUUCUAGUAGACAACUCCAGUUAAUAUCUAAUUUAAUCUGUUGAAAAGAGAAUUUCUUCAAAUUUAAUUCCAUAUAUGACAUGCAUAUUUUCAGACUAUAGAUUAUUUUUGAAAAUGGGCUCAAAACUGGGCCAAAACCUGCUGGUUCACAACUUCCAUAACUGAAUUCGUAUGCUUUGUUAAGCCACCUUCCGAAAGCCCAAAUCCACUUGAACUCAUUGAGCACACUCCUGUGUCAUGCUCCCCUGGUUGAAGAAGACUCGUCCUCAAGUCAUGUGUUCUAUCAUCACCAUAAUAAGGAGACAAAUCAGCAACACUGAAAGUUUCCAAAACAUCAUAAUCAGCUGGAAGUUCAAACUUGUAGGCAUUUUCACCAAUUCACCUGAGAAUUUUGAAAGGACCAUCAGCCAUUGGCUUCAAUUUUCCAAAUUUUCCAUGACGGAAUCUCCUUUUUGCAAGCUUCUGAAUUUGUUUAGCUAUUUCUUCUGCUUCUCCACUAAAAUUAUUAGAAGUUGGAAGAGGAACCAGAUCCAAUGGACUCAGUGAAUUCUGGCCGUAAUCAUCCUAAAAAGGACUGCAAGAAGUACUUCGGCUAGUUGAAUGGUUGUAAGCAAAUUAAGCUUGUGGCAAAACAAGAUCCCAAUCAUUCUUGGGCACAUGAAGAGCUGAUACAGCACAUGGUCUCUUACUCACAAAAACCUCUGCCAUAAGCUCAUCUACUUGCCUUUGCAAUUCAUCAAGCUCCUUUGGACUCAUUUUGUAGGCUGAUUUGUUGGGAAGCAUAGAACUGGGAAUAAAAUCAAAGCAAUGCUGCAUGUCUUGCAUUGGAGGAAUACCUGGAAGGCUGGAAGUAUAACUUCAGGAACAGCAUCAUUAAACUCAUCAAGUAAAGGUUGCACUUCAGGUGGCAACUCACUUCUGCAUUUUCUUCAAAAACAACAAGAGCGUAUGCGGUUUGGAAAAGAUCUCAGGUUUAGAAGGACCCAAGACAAUCUUCACACCAUCAUUUCCAAAAGAGUAACGUUGUGUUUGGGAGCAUGGAUUACGGAUCUUGAAUUUGGAUUGGAUUGGGGAGGAUUUGAAAAUUUUUCAAUACAAUUUAUAUUACGUCUUAUCCAAAUCCAAUAUCACUCCAAAUCCAAUAGUUCUCCAAACAAUGGUAAAGGCCAUUGGUGAGUCUCUUGGAGCAUGGCAGUGUUCAUAAGCUGUUUUUGUGAGGCUGUGGCAAUGUUAUAUAAGUUUGUUGGUGACUUGACCAUGGUAGUUUUGGUGUUCAUGUUGUUCGUGGCUGCUCCAAUUGUGGUCUUCUAACAUGGUAUCAGAGCAGGUCACAAGGAGGUCUUCAGUUCUAGUCUCAUCGCCCAUGUUUAUUAUGUGGUGUUCAAAAAAAAUUAUUGUAUUCUUCGUAAUGGGUGUUAUCUAUCAUGUGUUUAUCUCUUCAUGUAUUGUUGGGCUCCACAUGCAGGGGAGUGUUAAAGCUUGAUAUACAUUGUUGGCCCACAACCUAAUAGCUUAAGCUUUUAGGUAAAGUGGUUGUUCGACAUGGUAUCAUAGCUGGUUACCAAGAGGUCCUGACUUCUACUCUUGUUGUCCGCAUUUAUUGUGCAGUGUUCAAAAAAAUUUAUUGUAUUCCCUAUCAUGGGUGUUAUCUA